rnacentral:misc_RNA from 1 species
UCUAAGGAUAUUAUACGGAAUAUAAGACCUUGGGUCUUAUAAACAGAACGUUCCCUGUCUUGUUUAGUUUUGAAGGAUCAUUCCUUCGAAACGUGUUCUUUGAAAACUAGAUAACAGUAGACAUCACAUUCAAUUAGUAAUACAAGAUAUCACAUAGUGAUUCUUUUUAAC